AUGCCAUUACAAAACAAUCGUCCCAGGUCAUUCCGCACGCGAUCGAGGCGCCAUCUUGCGGGCCGCUACUCCGCAGAACGAGCUUCAGUUUCUCUCCACCAUCGGGCCGUCAAAGCCCAAGUACUCCCAUUUGGUAACAGGCCAGGUCGUCACGUUUGCCCGAACGAACAGCUCCAUGACUCAUCUGCUCCUUCCUCCGAGAUGCGCCGCCGCCGUCGGCGAUCUUUUGCCUCGUGUCUGUCUCAGCAUAGGUGCAGUCCACCCGCCUUCUACUCUUCCUCCGCAUGCCCCUUCUUGAAUGUUUUAAAUUUCGUGUCUUGCAGGUUUCCACCAUAG
rnacentral:rRNA from 1 species